GCGGGACAAUAGAAUUUUCAAAAACACCCUAGCAACCAAUAGGAAUAGAGCUCGCCUUCCUUUGACUUUUGAGUAAGCGGACGUUGAGAGAAAUGUGCUUAAUGACACCAGCUGAGGUUCUGUUUAUUAGAUAACAUAAUUGUAAUAAUAUUACGUAAUUGCUUCUCUUAUUGUGAACAUUAUUUAUAUUAUUGUCUUCACAAUGAAGCCACACCUCCCAGCCACCCACACGCACACUCACGCAGUGCAUGUCUUUCACACAGGAAAUCAGCAUUGUCUGCAAACUGCCUGUGGCCCAUCAUUCACAUACUCAGGUCUAUCAAGACGAACUUGUUUGACUGAUAUCCCUCAACAAGAUGAUUAAUGAGGAUUGGCUGUGCAGCUCAUUAAAGCUAUGUGAUCUAGUCACCACUUCAGAAUCUGCUCACUCUGAUGACUCUGCGCAGGUCGUAAUCAACAGUGAUUCAUACCCACAACCUGCUUAUAACCUAUCAUCAAUCCAACACACUUUGGAAACAUACAGCCAUUUGCUGGAUGUAACAUUAGAACAGAACUUAGAGCCCAUUCAACACUUUGCACAGACGACUGCCAAAACUAUUAUAGAUUCAGCCAUCAGGAUCAGAGACCCAAGAGAAUCCAUCAAACUGAGAGGGGACGACGUUGAGAUGCUGGCUGAAGAGUUAACUUUACAAGUCUGUUGCAAAGCAUUGGAAGAGAUAGAGAGGCAUCAUUACUCUGAUGAUCCAUCAUCCAAAAGUGUGGACGAUAAAGAGGGGACUUAUGGAAAUGCAUCGGCCCUGUGCUCCUCAGGGUACAACUGUGACAAAAAGUUCACAUCUGAAAUGGAAACAGACAACAAGAUGGAAGAAUAUGAUGACACAUCUACCACAGUAUAUGCUACUUCGUUGAAAAGCAUGGCUAGUCUGGGCUCUAUUGAGUACCCUGAUGCUCCUCCAAGCACCCCUUUACUUCCAGAGAUGAUCAGGAGUCGAGACAGUUUCACAAGGAAGCUCAAGGGAGGACUGGCUAAAGAGUUCCUUCCUUCACCCCCUCCACCGACCCCCAAAGACCACAUGCAACCAUUAAUGGAGAACCAAAUGACAGACGCGUCUGCUGACUUCAUGGUGAGACUGAUGCGCUCACUUUCACUGGAGUGCUGUCAAAAUGGAGGUCUGGAAGAAGACGAGAACGGAGAAGUUGAUGAUAGCGGACUCCAAAAUGAUGUUCCCGGGCUAACUGACUAUGCAGCUCAAAUUUCUGCAGAUAUCCUUCAUUUUAUCACCACAAAUGAGAUAAAAGUCAAGGAUGAGGGUUGUGUGCAAAGCAUGUGGGCUAUUACUGACCAACUGGCGAGUGAAAUUGUCACAACGUCUCUAGCAGAGGUGAUGGCGAGAGGAGAAUGGAAAGUUUUGGAGGAAGAAACAACAUCAUGCUCAAAGUAUAAGGUAGAUGUGGCUCCAGACACAAAGUCUAAGAUCUCUGCAACAGAUGGGGUGAAAGUUUUAGCUAGUGAGCUAAUCAUUAAUGCUAUGGUUCAUACUUUUGCUAAGCUAGGACAGGGUGUGUUUAAACAUGGAACUCAGCCACAUCUUUCGGGCCAAACUGUAGAACCACAGCCAUGGGAAGAAGGAAGAUAUUCAAACACACUGUGUAAAGACUCAAUCAACUCCCACAAAGCCAAACCCUUCAGAUGUUGCAGCGAUAAAUCAGAACUGAACCCUAUUACAGAUGACGCCAUAAAAGUGAAAUCAUCGGUAGACACAUUUGCCAACGACUUUGCAGAAGACGUGCUUCAGCAUUCUGUGUGUUUACUGUUCAACUAUAAGCAAUCUCAGGGAGCAGGAUUUGGCCCAGAGAAAGACAUUAAACCAUGGCUAAUCAAAAUGUGUGCUGGGGAAAGUCCUGUCCAGGAACUGCAGUGUGCUCUACUCUGGGCCGCAGCCUCUCAGAAAGGGACUAAAGCAAUUCAGUUUGAGCUUCCAGACAAAAGCCUUCAACAAAAGCUUUGCAGACUCUCUCAGAGUGCUCGUCUGAAUGGCUGGACGGUGGGUGCUUUGAUGGCUUCUCUCGAUGAGUUUUGUGACAUGCAUCAAGAGACCAGCAGAGGGCCCCAUAAGAGCUCAGAUUCUCUCGUGGAGCAUCUGCAGCACCUGAUUGACAAUGUGCGUUUAAACGGAUCGUGAAGCUUUACCCUUGCAGAACUGGUCAGUGAUCCAUGCAACACCCCCUGAAAUAAAGACGGAAAACGGCAGACAUUAAUCUUCAUCCACACAAUCUUUCACAUCCCAAACAUUAAUAAAAGGAGACAAAGUCAUAACAAAGCAUACACAGUUAUAAUCAAUUUCUCUCUGACCCAUUGAAAAUGAGCCCUUAAAGACGAAACAGCUGCAUGCACGCUGUCUGUUUAUACCAAAAUAAGAUCUGCUCUCCCGGUCCAAGCACUCAAACCACAGCCAUUAUUAGGUAAGCGGAAAUCUGACUACAAAUCAGCUUUGGAAGUUACUACCACCCAAAACACACUGACACAUUCUUGACCAAAGAUCCUGUAUUCUGUAUGUUCCCGUGUUGUUAUUUUCCAAAAAUAUGUCAGUACCUAUAAUAAAGUGUGUCUGAAAAUGAUAAACAGUGAAUGCUGUAUUGUUGAAGCUGUUUUAUGAUGGAGCUGCGGGGGGUGUAACAGGCAGGACUAUUUUACUGCAUGCCAUUAAUACUCCCCAAGCACUGAUACCUAACAUGGCAGGAAUGCGCUUUAGCGAAAACCUGCAUCCCACUCACUCCCACUCUUGGCGACCACAGCUUGAAAAUCAGGGCCACGCACACAAAAUCACACAUACUCAUUCUGUGACCCUCUGCCUCGCUCUAUCAGUCUCCCAGACACGCUCCUUCUUUCACUUUCUCUCUCUCCCGCACACACACGCGCAGGGUGCGAACUACGGGGU
rnacentral:lncRNA from 1 species